GACUUUCUUGAAAGCAAUGUGUGGGGUUCCACCAAAGCUAAUCAUAACUGAUGAGGACCAAAGCAUGAGAAGAGGAAUAGAAUAUAUAUUUCCGAACACAAAGCAUCGACUUUGUAUGUGGCAUAUUCUGAUGAAACUCCCUGAAAAAGUUGGACCCAUCUUGAGAAAUUCAUCCUCCUGAUGUUGCAAACACGAAGGGCAGUGGUAAGAGAUUGAAGAGGGGUUUAGAGGAGGCCAUUAGCAAAAGGAAAAAGAGGAAGUAACGUCCGACAAGGUUCACCAUCAGUACAUUGUUCUAGUUACCAAGUCGGACAUGACAGCUCAAACGCAUAGCCUAACCCAUGGGAGUGGACAUCCUUUACUUUGCGCUAAAUAGUGUAUGAAAAUUGCUAUAUGGAUCUACUACACACUUCUGCUACAACUAGUUGAAUCUGCUGGUGCAAUAUAUGUACACCUCCUAAUCUGCUAUACAUUGGAUUGUAA